CUAAGUUUGAUGGCGACCGGCGCACGGGUGAGUAACACGUAUCCAACCUGCCGAUGACUCGGGGAUAGCCUUUCGAAAGAAAGAUUAAUAUCCGAUAGCAUAUAUUUCCCGCAUGGGUUUUAUAUUAAAGAAAUUCGGUAUGAGAUGGGGAUGCGUUCCAUUAGUUUGUUGGGGGGGUAACGGCCCACCAAGACUACGAUGGAUAGGGGUUCUGAGAGGAAGGUCCCCCACAUUGGAACUGAGACACGGUCCAAACUCCUACGGAGGCAGCAUG
rnacentral:rRNA from 1 species